UACGUAGGGUGCGAGCGUUUAAUCGGAAUUACUGGGCGUAAAGCGUGCGCAGGCGGCUAUUUAAGCUUGCUGUGAAAGCCCCGGGCUUAACCUGGGAACUGCAGUGAGGACUGGAUGGCUGGAGUGUGGCAGAGGGGGGUGGAAUUCCACGUGUAGCAGUGAAAUGCGUAGAGAUGUGGAGGAACACCGAUGGCGAAGGCAGCCCCCUGGGCUA
rnacentral:rRNA from 1 species